AUUGAACGCUGGCGGCAUGCCUUACACAUGCAAGUCGAACGGCAGCACGGGAGCAAUCCUGGUGGCGAGUGGCGAACGGGUGAGUAAUAUAUCGGAACGUGCCCAGUCGUGGGGAUAACGUAGCGAAAGCUACGCUAAUACCGCAUACGAUCUAUGGAUGAAAGCGGGGGAUCGCAAGACCUCGCGCGAUUGGAGCGGCCGAUAUCAGAUUAGGUAGUUGGUGAGGUAAAGGCUCACCAAGCCGACGAUCUGUAGCUGGUCUGAGAGGACGACCAGCCACACUGGGACUGAGACACGGCCCAGACUCCUACGGGAGGCAGCAGUGGGGAAUUUUGGACAAUGGGCGCAAGCCUGAUCCAGCAAUGCCGCGUGAGUGAUGAAGGCCUUAGGGUUGUAAAGCUCUUUUACCCGAGAUGAUAAUGACAGUAUAGGGAGAAUAAGCUCCGGCUAACUCCGUGCCAGCAGCCGACGG
rnacentral:rRNA from 1 species